AGCUGUACGGGGUCUCCUGGGUACCCCCACUUCACUCCUGACCCUCCUCUAAGAAUCUCCAUGCAGUGGAAAGAGGCUGCAAGAAGGGCAAACUGAGGGCCUGCCUUUCCCUGCCUGCAUGAGCCUCCAGCAGGCUGUGUCAACCCUGGCAAAGUUACUUGCUUGCUGCUGGUCGGAUGCCCUGGACAUGGAAGGUAUUAGUCCUACCUGCCUCUCUGGAUGCCUGCAAAGCCCGGAGAACUAAAACGAGUGAAAAUGAAAAUCUGCAACCCGCCAAA